CAGAGGAUGAAGAAGAAAAUCAGAUUGCACACUUCAACAAUGUCAAAAUCAAAUCUGGGCUCUGACUCUG
rnacentral:snoRNA from 14 species